rnacentral:miRNA from 1 species
UGCAGCAAGGGAGAAGUCUGC